AUUGAACGCUGGCGGCAGGCCUAACACAUGCAAGUCGAACGAGAGGCGGACGGGCGAGUAGUGUCGGGGAACCUGCCCGACGGAGGGGGAUAAGUACUGGAAACGGUAGCUAAUACCGCAUACGAUCCGUUGGGGCCAGAUUGGAUUAGCUAGUAGGUGGGGUAAAGGCUCACCAAGGCGACGAUCCCUAGCUGGUCUGAGAGGAUGAACAGCCACACUGGGACUGAGACACGGUCCAGACUCCUACGGGAGGCAGCAGUGGGGAAUAUUGCACAAUGGGCGAAAGCCUGAUGCAGCCAUGCCGCGUGUGUGAAGAAGGCCUUCGGGUUGUAAAGUACUUUCAUCGGGGAAGCGUUACCCACAGAGGAAGCACCGGCUAACUCCGUGCCAGCCGCCGCGGUAAUUC
rnacentral:rRNA from 1 species